rnacentral:lncRNA from 12 species
AAAUGUGAUCCAAGACGUGUCUGGAGGAGAGGAUAGGACUCUGAGCCUCAGUCGGAUUGAAAACUCCUCUGAAAGGGGAAACUUUCUGACCUGAAGUAUACAGCCCUUGGCGGUGCCUUCGACAGUCUGCUGGGCUGCUGGCUAGCAAUGCUGUGGGAGACCUGUGAGCCAGCUGCCCCAGGAAUUAGUGAGUGAGUCUGUCCAAUUUUGAUGGGAGGUGUUAGGAAGCCAAUGGAGGCUGGCU